GAGUUCAAGAGCCAAUUCACUCCUCUAACCUAUUUGGUUGGUAGUAGCUAAAUGAUCUGAGGAUCUUGCCCAGACGUUUCUUAAAAGAAUCCAGGGAAUCAGAUUCAAAAACAUACAGUACAUGUGGGAGUAUGGUAAUGCUAACCACCCCCCUGUUUAACGAAGUGCCUUUUGUUCUCAGUUUUAAAGUCACUACCAUGUAGUGGUAGUCUGUUUCACUGUUCAUUCUGAAAAAGUGGAUUUACUUUGUCUGAAAAAAGUAUUUCCUCUCAUUGUCUUCCAAGUUGAAGGGAAAAAAAGGCAUCAUCCUGAGUGAAGAUCCAAAGGCACCAGAGAUACUGUGAAGACUGUGCAUGAGGAAAGGGGGUAUAGCAGACGGACCAGGAACAACAAAGAACUGAAAGAUGUACCCUGAUGAGGACAUUCAGAUGUUAAGUGAUGCCACCUGGAUUCCAACCUUAGAUCGUGGAGGUGUAUAAUACAUCCCGCGUGGUUGGAGCACCGGUUCACAAGCACAGACAUGAGUAACAAAUCCAUUUUGCUGUAAGGGUAGCAUUAAUCUGUGCAUUGUGACUGGUCCUCUCUGAAAAGGGGAUCACAACAGCUGUGGGACCGAUCACAUGAAUAUUGCAGCGUUCAGACAGGUAAGGGAGUAUAGACACAGGGCCCUUGAAGACGUUUCUGCACUUUUGCCUGUCAUUAAAUCUUCAUCAAAUUCCACAUUUCUAAUUAUCUUGUGUGUAACAGCUCUAUCAGGAUUAUAGUAAUGAUCUGCUUUCUGAACAGUCACAGUCAAAUUAUUUCACCAAAGCACAGUUGCUGCAUAAAUCUUAAAACUACUGUAAUAUAACAUCACAGUGGCAGUAAUGGGAGUGUGGUGGUGAUGGGAGUGAGGUGGUGAUGAGAGUGUGGUGAUGGGAGUGAGGAGGUGA